CUACAGUAAAAGUAGAAAAGCCACCCCGUCCGGUCCUCGUGUUGGGCGCAGAUCAAACGCGUGACACACAGGACAGCACGUAAACCACCGAGGACAGCUGCGGCUUCGGGAGACAGAGAGCCCACACCAGGGUCCACACUGCAGCCAGCACGGCCGAGUGCUGGCCCAGGGGUCUGGUUUCCGGGCCUGUGGGGUUCCCAGCCCAGUGGGCUGCCCCCUCCCGCCCCGGGAGCCUGAGCCGGACCCGGGUCCACUAUUCCUCCUCUGCAUCUCCCUGCGUUUGACGCGUUUCUGAAGCUCUGGCUUCCGGGGCCUUGCUGACCUGCAGGGACUGUCCCCUUCCCGCCGCCCCCACCGCUCCGGCCUAGCCAAUGCUGAGAGAUACUGACCCACUGCUGGCACUUUUCAAGGGCAAACCAGCCCAUGCAGAGCCCACACCCCACCCCCCACCGCCAGACUGGGCUCUCACACUCCAGGGCCACCGUCUCCUGCCCUGUGUCAGACCGAAGGGACAGCCCCUCUGCCCCGGAGCCUGAGUCAUUCCAGCUGCCCGUCUUUAGCCGGCCUGCGCUGCCUUGACUCGUCCAGCUAACGCCAAGGCUUGGAAACGGAGGGACAGCGAGGCUCGCCGGCCUGCCUGCGGCCUCGGAGCUGGGCUGGGCUGGCGCCGUGUGAACCUGUCCCCUGCAGACGUCACAGAUGAUGUCAUGCCCCCCACUCACCCAGCAGAGCCUCUGGAGUGGCGCACUCAGGGGUUGGACAACCGAAAGAGACACUCAGGAAAGAUGCGUCUAAACAAACAGCACUCGCUGUUUCUGGUUUCGGCCAGACUCCGUGGGUCUGAGCACCAGAAGGCUUCCAGAACCGAGCACCCUGUGCGCACAGACACCGACAGCCCGGCCUCCCCACCGCCCCGCCGCCCCGGGAGGUCCACACCCCUCCGCCGAGCUAUCCGCGAUUCCCGGGCCUCAGGGUGGCCAUCGGCGGGGUAGGCGGACCGUGGGAGUACGUGAGAUGCCCCGUGGGCAGCACGUGUCGCACAGCAGCAUCCUGUCUCUGUCCCGGGGCAGCCACAACAGAGGACCACAGACGGCCACUCACAAAAGACUCUGGUCUCACGGUCCGGAGGCCACAGGUCACCUGUGUCACGGAGAUGAGCUUGAAGUCCUUCGAGAAACACUAGGACGCACGGCAUCUUCGCGACAUAAUUUCUGACACAGAGCCAGGAGCUCUGGGAGUCUCCAGCAAUUAUAGACCACGGGCCGUGGAGAAGGAAAUUCCUGGUCAGGAACGUUCCAGGCUGUGGGGCUCUGCAGGACGAAACUUGGAAAAGCACUUUAGCCCCAGAGAAUCUGCUGAUGACUAGGGCCCCAGGGACUGUGGUUGGCAGGUAGAUGAGAAGGGGGGAGCGGUCCUUGGGAGAGGGGGACCGACCGACCUCUGCGGACCACCCACGGCAACACCUGCCCAUCAUGGGAUCCAGCCCCAAGCCAGGCCCUGAGAGGUGUGUGAACAGUCAGUCCAAGAGGGGGGCAACUGAGGCACGAGGGUGUUAGCUCCUUCUUUCAAGGCCACACAGGAAGGGUGGGCCCACGCCCACGGCUCCUGCCUCACACGUGUCUCUGCAACAAACCAAAGGACUCCCGGAGCAGGCACAGCGUCAGUGGAACCACCCAGAAGGUGUGGCCCAGCCCAGGCUGGGCAUGGGGUCCCUGUCUGCUGCUCCCUCCCCUCCCUGCACCAGGCGGUGUGGGGGAGGGGGGACAGUCGCUCGCAGGAUGGGCUGAGGAGGAAGGCGAGGGCCAGCCCACAGUGGGGACAUCUCUGUCUGAGCUCGUGCCUGUGACUGGGGAGGACACUCCUCCCGCUUCUAAGGAACUGGCCCGGACGCCCUCGGUCCGGCCAGCAGCCGGGCCCCAGAGGACCCGAGAGGAUUCAGGGCCCAGGU